UAUUGUUUGCAUCGAGACCAUUUAAACACAAAAGAAUAACAUAACAAAAUAAAUAUUUGAAUAGUUCGACAAACUACAAACUUCUGUUUUUUUACUAAUCGUUGAAGUCAAACACAAGGAUUCACUUUUGAAACUUAAGUCGGAAUUACUGUGACUGCACAGGGGGCGCAGCAAAAGACACAAAUAAUUUUAGUAAUAAAAAUUAAGUGUAUACUUUAAAACCCAAAUUUAAAAAGCUGCAUGGCCUUGAGGUGUUUCGGUUGUUGGACACCCUAUGUGAUGUUUGCAUGAAUAGUGUGAAAGUACAUAAUUUACUUAGAAAACAAAAAAACGCGCUGCACGAAAUCUGAUUUGGAUUCAGCGAGAAGAAUACAAAUCUUCUUGUACUAUUGCGAACGGCGUGUGCGAGCAAUACAAAUAAGGGUCGUAGACCUCAAAGUGUUUUAUGAUGUCAUCAACACCGCGGUGAAUGGUCAAUUGUAUGCUGAACACGAAAACUGAGAAUAAAAGAUUGCAAUGCACAUCUCACGGGUUCAGUUUUAUUAUUAAAUUAUAUACGUUUUAGUUUGUUAUAUAUAUAUAUAUACAUAAAAAAACGGCGCUGAAAAAUAUAUUAUCUUGUGCUGUUUGGCCGUUAAAAAAAAUCCGGUGCGGCUUUUCGCAACAAAAAGAAGAUUAGUCGACUUAAUCUGACAGAACACGUCAUUCUUAGGAAGUAACUCUAAAAAGUCUCCUACGUAAUCUAAAUUGUUUUUUUCUCUUUCUUCGGCGGAUGAUACAAACAUGACAGUAUCUAUCCUUGAACACAAUAAAUAGUUUUAUAAGAAAAAAAACCUGUAUCUAUAGACUCUGAUGUAUGUUUAAAAUGCAAAAAUAAUAAUAAAAAUAAUGAACGGGUAUAGUAUAAUGGUAUGUUAUAAUGUUCUAUAAUUAUAUUAGAACACAACUGUGACAGGUUGGCACAAGUGGAUGCAUCACUUUUUUAGUUGUUAAUUGAUACUAAAAUUAUAACAAUUGAUUUGUUAUUUCUAUAAAUAUUAUAAUUUUAGACAUCAAAUCAAACUAUUUAUUUUGUCACAUCAGCAAAUCGUAUUUUUAAAUAUUAGAUCCCAUAUUAGC